rnacentral:rRNA from 1 species
GAUGAACGCUAGCUACAGGCUUAACACAUGCAAGUCGAGGGGCAGCAUGAUUGAAGCUUGCUUCAAUCGAUGGCGACCGGCGCACGGGUGAGUAACACGUAUCCAACCUGCCGAUAACUCGGGGAUAGCCUUUCGAAAGAAAGAUUAAUACCCGAUAGUAUAGUAUUUCCGCAUGGUUUCACUAUUAAAGAACUUCGGUUAUCGAUGGGGAUGCGUUCCAUUAGAUAGUUGGCGGGGUAACGGCCCACCAAGUCAACGAUGGAUAGGGGUUCUGAGAGGAAGGUCCCCCACAUUUGAACGGAGACACAGUCCAAAAUGCUACGGGAGGCAGGAGUGUGGAAUAUUAGUCGAUGGACGAGAGUCUGAACCAGCCAAGUAGCGGGAAGGAUGACUGGCCUAUGGGUUGUAAACUUCUUUUAUACGGGAAAUAAGUGGAGUAUGCAUACUCCUUUGUAGGUACCGUAUGAAUAAGGAUCGGCUAACUCCGUG